rnacentral:rRNA from 1 species
AUUGAACGCUGGCGGCAUGCUUUACACAUGCAAGUCGAACGGUAACAGGCCUUCGGGUGCUGGCGAGUGGCGAACGGGUGAGUAAUGCAUCGGAACGUACCCAGAGGUGGGGGAUAACGCAGCGAAAGCUGUGCUAAUACCGCAUGUGAUCUGAGGAUGAAAGCGGGGGACCGAGCAGCAAUGUUUGGCCUCGCGCCUUUGGAGCGGCCGAUGUCGGAUUAGCUAGUUGGUGGGGUAAAGGCCUACCAAGGCGACGAUCCGUAGCUGGUCUGAGAGGACGACCAGCCACACUGGGACUGAGACACGGCCCAGACUCCUACGGGAGGCAGCAGUGGGGAAGUUUGGACAAUGGGCGCAAGCCUGAUCCAGCAAUGCCGCGUGCGGGAAGAAGGCCUUCGGGUUGUAAACCGCUUUUGGCAGGAACGAAACGGUGUCCGCUAAUACCGGGCGCUAAUGACGGUACCUGCAGAAUAAGCACCGGCUAACUACGUG